GAUGAACGCUGGCGGCGUGCCUAAUACAUGCAAGUCGAGCGAACAGACGAGGAGCUUGCUCCUCUGCCGUUAGCGACGGACGGGUGAGUAACACGUGGAUAACCUACCUAUAAGACUGGGAUAACUUCGUGAAACCGGAGCUAAUACCGGCUCAUAUAUUGAACCGCAUGGUUCAAUAGUGAAAGACGGUUUUGCUGUUUCUUAUAGAUGAUUCCGCGCCGCAUUAGCUGGUUGGUAAGGUAACGGCUUACCAAGGCGACGAUGCGUAGCCGACCUGAGAGAAGGAGCAGGCACACUGGAAGUGAGACACGGUCCAGACUCCUACGGGAGGCAGCAGAGGGGAAUAUUGGACAAUGGGCGCAAGCCUGAUCCAGCCAUACCGCGUGGGUGAAGAAGGCAUUCGGGUUGUAAAGCCCUUUUGUUGGGAAAGAAAAGUAGCAGGUUAAAACCCCGCUGUGCUGACGGUACCCAAAGAAUAAGCACCGGCUAACUUCGUG
rnacentral:rRNA from 1 species